UUCGGGCUGUCGUUUGAGGAUGAGUCUGCGUCCUAUUAGUUAGUUGGUGAGGUAAUGGCUCACCAAGGCGAUGAUAGGUAGGCGGCCUUAACGGGUGGCCGCCCACACUGGGAUUGAGAUACGGCCCAGACUCCUACGGGAGGCAGCAGUCGAGAAUAGUCUACAAUGGACGAAAGUCUGAUAGUGCGACGCCGCGUGAACGAAGAAUCCCUUCGGGGUGUAAAGUUCUUUUAUAUGUGAGCAAUGCUUUUUAUGUGAAUAGCAUGAGAAGAGAGAUAUUAGCAUAUGAAUAAGCAACGGCUAACUCCGUGCCAGCAGCCGCGGUAACACGGGGGUUGCAAGCGUUGUCCGGAAUUACUAGGCGUAAAGGGCAGGUAGGCGGAUCUAUAAGUUUGAUGUUAAAGGCAGCGGCUCACCCGCUGUACGGCGUCGGAUACUGUAGAUCUGGAAUGCGGUUGGGGAAGACAGAAUUCCUGGUGUAGCGGUGGAAUGCGCAGAGAUCAGGAGGAAUACCAAAGGCGAAGGCAGUCUUCUAAGCCGUUAUUGACGCUAAACUGCGAGGGUGUGGGUAUCAAACAGGAUUAGAUACCCUGGUAGUCCACACAGUAAACGAUAAUCAUUAGGUGUCGGGGUUCGUAGAAAAUCGGUGGCCGUAGCUAAACGCGAUAAGUGAUUCGCCCGGGGAAGUACGAUCGCAAGGGUGAAAACUCAAAGGAAUUGGACGGGGGCCCGCACAACCGGGGGGAACAUGGGGGGUUUUAAUUCAAAGCAACGCCAAAAAACCUUACCCGGGUCUUGGAAUUCCUUGGGAACCU
rnacentral:rRNA from 1 species